rnacentral:rRNA from 1 species
CGUUCCCGGGCCUUGUACACACCGCCCGUCACACCAUGGGAGUGGGUUGCAAAAGAAGUAGGUAGCUUAACCUUCGGGAGGGCGCUUACCACUUUGUGAUUCAUGACUGGGGUGAAGUCGUAACAAGGUAACCGUAGGGGAACCUGCGGUUGGAUCACCUCCUUACCUKAAAGAAGC